GUUGUGGCUCAGUGGUAGAGCAUUUGCUUGGCAUUCAGAAAAUCCUAGGUUCAAUCCUUAGCAUUCCA
rnacentral:tRNA from 1 species